rnacentral:misc_RNA from 1 species
GUGCCGUCCACCGAACGGUCGGCAGGCGAUCCGCGUCGGUCGCGCUGGGGUGGUAUGGUUCCCCAGAGGCCGGUUCUUGUGCUGCCUACCCCUUCGGGGGAAGCGGGCCACUUGAUGUAAGCCUCCAUCCGGCGCCCUCCAACGGGCGCAGGAGGACAACGGAGCACCCCCCGCGUUCCACCGAGCCUCCUUUGGUUCGUGGGCCCCGGGGGGGUGGGGAUGUUUUUGGCCCCCGGAACCCCCGGGGGGGGGGGCCCCGUUCCCAUUCCCAAAUUAAACUUCCAUAUAAUGGUGACGGCCCCUCCCCCCCCCCCGCCCCCCCGGCGCCCCGGGGGGGAGGCGCGGCGUCGCGGAGGAAUGCUACCU